rnacentral:rRNA from 1 species
CAUCACUACGCUAGAUGCAUAUCAAUAAGCGGAGGAAAAGAAACUAACAAGGAUUCCCUUAGUAACGGCGAGUGAAGCGGGAAGAGCUCAAAUUUGAAAUCUUCAAGGUUCUACCUUGACGAAUUGUAGUUUAUAGAAGUGUUUUCUGUUAGUAGAGUGGCAAAAGUUCUUUGGAAUAGGACAUCAUAGAGGGUGAGAAUCCCGUAUUUGGUCAUUCUUUCUAGCUUUGUGAUACACUUUCAACGAGUCGGAUUGUUUGGGAAUGCAGUCCAAAAUGGGUGGUAAAUUUCAUCUAAAGCUAAAUAUUGGCGAGAGACCGAUAGCGAACAAGUACCGUGAGGGAAAGAUGAAAAGAACUUUGAAAAGAGAGUUAAACAGUACGUGAAAUUGUCAAAAGGGAAGCGUUUGACACCAGUGUUGUUUAGUUGAAAAUCAAUUCAAUAUUUUUCGAUUUUAAGUAGUAUUGACUUCAUCAGCUUGCUGCUUUCUUUUCGGAAAUUAUUUAAUGCACUUUUCAGUUAACAAGUCAACAUCAAUUUCUUUUGUUGUAAAAGGGUAAGAGGAAGGUGGCUUACGCUUCGGCGUAAGUGUUUAUAGCCUUUUACCUCUGCAAUCGGAGAGAUUGAGGACAGCAGCGUAGACUCCUUCGGGGGUUAGAUACACUUGUGCUAAGCUAUAGCCUUGUAUAGACAACUUGUUGACUAUGCCCAGUCAUGUAGCUUACUCGCAUGUGCUGUGUUACCUACGCUUAGGAUGUUGAUAUGCAUGACUGAUAU